rnacentral:rRNA from 1 species
CACACUGUAAACGAUGAUAACUCGCUGUCGGCGAUAGACCGUCGGUGGCCAAGCGAAAGCGAUAAGUUAUCCACCUGGGGAGUACGACCGCAAGGUUGAAACUCAAAGGAAUUGACGGGGGCCCGCACAAGCGGAGGAACAUGUGGUUUAAUUCGAUGAUACGCGAGGAACCUUACCCGGGCUCGAACGGUGCAUGAAAGUUCAAGAGAUUGGACAGUCCUUCGGGACAUGUAUCGAGGUGC